AUUUGAUGCUGAGGGCAUUUGAUGCAUAACUUCUUGAAUCUUUCCCAAUAGUCAUAGAGCGACUCUCCUGGGUGUUGCUUGAUACAGCAGGUCUCCUUCCUCAGACU